AGAGGGCAAGUCUGGUGCCAGCAGCCGCGGUAAUUCCAGCUCUGAUAGCGUAUAUUAAAGUUGUUGCGGUUAAAAAGCUCGUAGUUGGUUCUGUGUGCCAUGCUGUUGGUUCACCGCCUGCCGGUGCAACUGACAUGUCAUGGGACGUACUGUCGGUGGCUAUUAAAGCCCUUUUCUUUUGAUUUAGGUAACACUUUAUCUAAAGGGUAGGUAACUUUAAUAGCCGAUUAACUCCUACCGCGGUGCUCUUUACUGAGUGUCGAGGUGGGCCGACAUUUUUACUUUGAACAAAUUAGAGUGCUCAAAGCAGGCAAAAAUUUGCCUGAAUAGUGGUGCAUGGAAUAAUAGAAUAGGACCUUGGUUCUAUUUUGUUGGUUUUUAAGAAUCCAAGGUAAUGAUCAAUAUGGACAGGCGGGGGCAUUCGUAUUGCGACGUUAGAGGUGAAAUUCUUGGAUCGUCGCAAGACGAACUAGAGCGAAAGCAUUUGCCAAGUAUGUCUUAAUUGAUCAAGAACGAAAGUUAGAGGCUCGAAGGCGAUCAGAUACCGCCCUAGUUCUAACCAUAAACGAUGUCAGCCAGCGAUCCGUCGAUGUUUUUUUCAUGACUCGACGGGCAGCUUCCGGGAAACCAAAGCUUUUGGAUUCCGGGGGAAGUAUGGUUGCAAAGCUGAAACUUAAAGGAAU
rnacentral:rRNA from 1 species